rnacentral:rRNA from 1 species
GUGCCAGCCGCCGCGGUAAUACGGAAGGUCCGGGCGUUAUCCGGAUUUAUUGGGUUUAAAGGGAGCGUAGGCCGGCUUUUAAGCGUGUUGUGAAAUGCCGCGGCUCAACCGUGGCACUGCAGCGCGAACUGGAGGCCUUGAGUGCGCAGGAGGUAGGCGGAAUUCGUGGUGUAGCGGUGAAAUGCUUAGAUAUCACGAAGAACUCCGAUUGCGAAGGCAGCUUACCGUAGCGUUACUGACGCUGAAGCUCGAAAGUGCGGGUAUCGAACAGGAUUAGAUACCCUGGUAGUCCGCACGGUAAACGAUGGAUGCCCGCUGUUCCGUCUUUAUGUUGGAGUGGCCAAGCGAAAGCGUUAAGCAUCCCACCUGGGGAGUACGCCGGCAACGGUGAA